UGCAACCUGAUAACUCAACACUGGUACAUGAAACCAGGAAAACAAUCCAGAAAGGCAGACAAGACUCCCAUUUUGAGAUGUCUUAGGAUCCAGAGUUACACUGUUCAGUACAAUUGUCACUAGCCACAAGAGACCAUUCAAAUUUAAAUUCACUAAAUUAAGAAGAAUGGUAGAAUCUGUUUUUCAACGAUGUCAGUCUUAUUGCCAGUGCUCAGUGGUCACACUGGUUGUAGCUUUCUAGUUCCCAUCAUCAAAGCUAGUUCCAAAGGGAGAGGUUUUUGUUUCUGAUAAUUAUGGUGAGCUUUAUCUAUUCCUAUACCCUUGUGAGAGCACUGGGAUUCACUGUUUCUGUAACAGUGACUUGGAACUCAUAUAGCUUGGUCAAUGACAAGUCUGGUAUUGAAUCCAAUUACUCUGAUGCCACAGAUUGUUGUGGAUUAAUGGGAUGUGGACAUACUACGGAUUUCCUUACAACGUACCAGGGUAGGAAACAAACAACCAAAACAUCAAAGUUCUCUUUUGGCUUCCUGUGUGAAUACAGUCAAUUAUGAAGACAGAAUGGAAGCACCAGUGUGCUGGGAGAUGGGUUUAUGAGUAGCCUUGACUAAUCCAAUAAGUCAUCAAAGGGAAUUUUAGAGACACAGAGGGGUGGGACAGCCAAUCCUGUCCCUUAGGCCACUAAAAAUGAAACAAUGGAUCCCAAAAGAAAUGGGAAUUUUCCUGGAAAUCUCAUGCUGGCAGAAGUACAAGGCAUCGGUGAGAAGGCAAGUUGCCUCACACAAAGGUUUCACACAAUCCUA
rnacentral:lncRNA from 1 species